CAGCAACAUUCGGAUCAAAACUACAAUAGUAAUCCACAAACCCAGUCAUUAAUCACUAAAGCAUUCAAUUUUUUUUGAGUUUGCAUUGACUUGCUCUACCCUCACCAAUCUUUCAUACUAGAGUCAGGUGAAAUCAUAAAUUUUAACGAUAGCAGGAUGAUUUCUGAUCCAGCUUGGGUCAAAGCAUCUUUUCCUAGCAUAGGAUAGUCACCUCUGCUAGUGCUGUGAAGAC
rnacentral:lncRNA from 1 species